CACCCUCAUGAACAUCGCCGAUGCCCCCACCAACGUGCAGCUCCCAGGCAUGUACAACAAGGAGGAGAACCCUCGUGUGCCCAUCGUCGUCACUGGUAACGAUUUCUCGACGUUGUACGCCCCUCUGAUCCGUGAUGGCCGUAUGGAGAAGUUCUACUGGGCUCCCACCCGCGACGACCGUAUCGGUGUCUGCAAGGGUAUCUUCCAGACCGACAAUGUCAGCGACGAGUCCGUCGUCAAGAUCGUCGACACCUUCCCAGGACAAUCCAUCGGUAUGUUCCUCACAACUGCACUGCAGAGAUAAUAUUCAUCAGGGCAAUCAAGUUGUAUAGUAGUAUUAACAAAGGAUCGUCGAUCCUACACAGACUUUUUCGGUGCUCUGCGUGCUCGGGUGUACGACGACGAGGUGCGCAAGUGGGUGACCUCUACCGGUAUCGAGAACAUUGGCAAGAGGCUGGUGAACUCGCGGGACGGACCCGUGACCUUUGAGCAGCCAAAGAUGACAGUGGAGAAGCUGCUAGAGUACGGGCACAUGCUUGUCCAGGAGCAGGACAAUGUCAAGCGUGUGCAGCUUGCUGACACCUACAUGAGCCAGGCAGCUCUGGGUGAUGCUAACCAGGAUGCGAUGAAGACUGGUUCCUUCUACGGUUAGAACAUUCUCCAUACACACCCACCAUCUCUUGCUGCAUAGGAGGAGGUGAACUACGCACAAUCCUUUUAUACUUUCAGCACCUACUUUACAUACAUACUUACUUCUCACUUGCUUACUUCUCUGAAACAAAAGAGUGAAUCAUAAACAAACAGUGGAGGCCUAUUUCUUCUUACCUGUUCUUAUAGCAUAGCAAGCUCAUCUUCUCAUCAGAUCGUCCAAAACAAUUGAAUUGCAGGUAAAGGGGCACAGCAAGGUACUUUGCCUGUACCGGCAGGAUGCACCGACCAGACUGCCAAGAACUUCGACCCAACGGCGAGGAGUGACGACGGGAGCUGCCUUUACACCUUUUAAGCAUGCCAAUUUAAUAUCUGAUGUUUUAUCCUUUGUACCUAAGUACCGCAUCGCAUCCAAGCGAUUGCUGGGCAUGUUUUGUUAAUAUAAAAAGAUAUUGAGUAUACCUAUUUGGUAAAGACAAAUAGAACUACUUAUCAUUUGUCACUCUCUGUAUUCAUUCCUUCAGUGGAGACUGCUUCUGCUUUAUUGCAAACAGAACAAAAAAGUACUAAUUUGCGCUUCAGCUUAUUAAUUAUUGUUG
rnacentral:lncRNA from 1 species